rnacentral:piRNA from 1 species
ACUUUUUCAUGUCAGAGACCGAG